rnacentral:tRNA from 1 species
GGAGGUGUAGUUCAGUGGAAGAGUGCUUGUCUAGCAUGCAGGAGGCCCCAGGUUCAAUCCCUAGCACUGCCA